CAGCCGCCACGGGAAUACGAAGGGGGCUAGCGUUGUUCGGAAUUACUGGGCGUAAAGCGCACGUAGGCGGAUAUUUAAGUCAGGGGUGAAAUCCCGCAGCUCAACUGCGGAACUGCCUUUGAUACUGGGUAUCUUGAGUAUGGAAGAGGUUAGUGGAAUUGCGAGUGUAGAGGUGAAAUUCGUAGAUAUUCGCAGGAACACCAGUGGCGAAGGCGGCUAACUGGUCCAUAACUGACGCUGAGGUGCGAAAGCGUGGGGAGCAAACAGGAUUAGAGACCCCUGUAGUCCCUGUCUCUUAUAC
rnacentral:rRNA from 1 species